rnacentral:lncRNA from 1 species
GAAGGGGUGGUGGCCUCUGGGUCAUUGCCGGAUUGUUGGGAAGGGUGGUGGCCUCUGGAUUGUUACUGGAUUGUUGGGAAGGGGUGGUGACCUCUGGAUUGUUACUGGAUUGUUGGGAAGGGGUGGUGACCUCUGGAUUGUUAGUGGAUUGUUGGGAAGGGGUGGUGACCUCUGGAUUGUUACUGGAUUGUUGGGAAGGGUGGUGACCUCUGGAUUGUUACUGGAUUGUUGGGAAGGGGUGGUGACCUCUGGAUUGUUACUGGAUUGUUGGGAAGGGUGGUGACCUCUGGGUUGUUACUGGAUUGUUG